GUCGGUCGUCUCCCUAUCGGUGCAGCAGGCAGGACACCUCCCACUCUGCCCCUGUUGGCUCUAAACCGGGACUGGCGCGCGGACUGGGGGGAGUGCACUUCCCAGGGGUAGCAGGGAGAGGGCGCCGACGAUGAUGUGGCCUGUGGGGCUCCUGUGAUCCACUGGACCUGGGCUAAGCCAGGGGAGGGAGGAGGGGCCUGUGGGUGGCCCCUCCCAGAUGCCACACGACACCCCCCCCCCCCACCCCGUGACCUAGUCCCGGCGGUGACAAAGACUUUCCCCGUGUUGAGCUCAGGUCCCCAAACCCCUGUCCGUCGGCACUGGUGACCCAGGAGCAGUUCUUAGGGGUCAUCGUGAGACCCGGGCCCCGAGCCUCACAUAUGUUCCCCGCCGGACAGAGGGCUUGCACAGGGCCCGGGCACGGUCGGGAGGGUCCCAGCAGUUGGAGACACUGGCAGACCCCAGAGGGUGGUGGGUGGAGCCCUAUGCCCAUGCCAGGGGCUGUCCGGACACUCCCUCUGUCCAUCUCAUUUAGGGCCAUGGCCGCGAGGAGGGUGCCAGCCCAGAUGUGGAAACAGAGGCCUGGCCAGGGCCGGCGUCUCUAGGGGGGCGCCCACAGCCCCAGCUUCUCAGCUGUGCCCCAGGACAAGGCACAAAACAGCCACAGGAGGGGGCACAGCACAGCCAGCACGAGGGACCCCCAGGCCGCUUUGAGACGCCACAAAGACCUCUGAGGAGCCCGAGCAUCUAUUCACAUCCAGGGGGUGCUCGAUUCUGUCGGAAGGAUCCUGGAGUCACGUUGGCGCCCCUGCGCUCUCCCCCGUCGGCGACGCCAGCCCACGGCCCGGGACACAGACGGCGGGCCGGUCGCCCUGCCGCUGGUCCUCAUGGCUUCUCAGAUCUCUGGUUCCACUUUUCUCCUGCGAAGCUUUCCUGACCCUAAGCUCUUGCAAUUACUUCA